rnacentral:rRNA from 1 species
GUGAGGAAUAUUGGUCAAUGGGCGCGAGCCUGAACCAGCCAAGUAGCGUGAAGGAAGACUGCCCUAUGGGUUGUAAACUUCUUUUAUACGGGAAUAAAGUCAGCCACGUGUGGUUGUUUGCAUGUACCGUAAGAAAAAGCAUCGGCUAAUUCCGUGCCAGCAGCCGCGGUAAUACGGAAGAUGCGAGCGUUAUCCGGAUUUAUUGGGUUUAAAGGGAGCGUAGGCGGAGAGACAAGUCAGUUGUGAAAGUUUGCGGCUCAACCGUAAAAUUGCAGUUGAAACUGUUUUUCUUGAGUGCACAUGAGGGUGGUGGAAUUCGUAGUGUAGCGGUGAAAUGCUUAGAUAUUACGAAGAACUCCGAUUGCGAAGGCAGCUGCCUGGGGUGCAACUGACGCUGAGGCUCGAAAGUGUGGGUAUCAAACAGGAUUAGAAACCCUAGUAGUCC